rnacentral:rRNA from 1 species
AUUGAACGCUGGCGGCAGGCCUAACACAUGCAAGUCGAGCGGAUGAAGGGAGCUUGCUCCUGGAUUCAGCGGCGGACGGGUGAGUAAUGCCUAGGAAUCUGCCUGGUAGUGGGGGAUAGCGUCCGGAAACGGGCGCUAAUACCGCAUACGUCCUGAGGGAGAAAGUGGGGGAUCUUCGGACCUCACGCUAUCAGAUGAGCCUAGGUCGGAUUAGCUAGUUGGUGGGGUAAAGGCCUACCAAGGCGACGAUCCGUAACUGGUCUGAGAGGAUGAUCAGUCACACUGGAACUGAGACACGGUCCAGACUCCUACGGGAGGCAGCAGUGGGGAAUAUUGGACAAUGGGCGGAAGCCUGAUCCAGCCAUGCCGCGUGUGCGAAGAAGGUCUUCGGAUUGUAAAGCACUUUAAGUUGGGAGGAAGGGCAGUAAGUUAAUACCUUGCUGUUUUGACGUUACCAACAGAAUAAGCACCGGCUAACUUCGUG